UCGAUGCAACGCGAAAAACCUUACCUACCCUUGACAUGUCUGGAAUCCUGAAGAGAUUUGGGAGUGCUCGAAAGAGAGCCAGAACACAGGUGCUGCAUGGCCGUCGUCAGCUCGUGUCGUGAGAUGUUGGGUUAAGUCCCGCAACGAGCGCAACCCUUGUCAUUAGUUGCUACGAAAGGGCACUCUAAUGAGACUGCCGGUGACAAACCGGAGGAAGGUGGGGAUGACGUCAGGUCAUCAUGGCCCUUAUGGGUAGGGCUACACACGUCAUACAAUGGCCGGGACAGAGGGCUGCCAACCCGCGAGGGGGAGCUAAUCCCAGAAACCCGGUCGUAGUCCGGAUCGUAGUCUGCAACUCGACUGCGUGAAGUCGGAAUCGCUAGUAAUCGCGGAUCAGCUUGCCGCGGUGAAUACGUUCCCGGGUCUUGUACACACCGCCCGUCACACCAUGGGAG
rnacentral:rRNA from 1 species